AACCAGGCUUUCUUCAGGUGGGGUUCUUCAUUGCUUUAGCCCCAUAAAAACCCAGCAGCUCCUGAGUUUGUGUUCCUUUGCAAGCUGAGAAGGCUCAGGGAGUCAGGUGCAGCCUUUUUGGAGGAGGGCACGACAGCAGCCAGGGACCCUGAGCUGUUUGCAGUUCCAUCCCAGCGGAGGAGGGAGAGGAAAAUGAACCCUCCUAUUUAUGCAGUGACUCUAAUGAUGGUGGGGAAAGGAUAAAGGAGGAAUUGGGGAACAGCCUCAGCAGGAAUUGAGGAACAGCCUCAGCAGCACAGCCACACAUUUUUUUCUCUCCUGGAAUUCCCAUUUCCCACAUCCUCAAACCCCCAGUUUGGAGCAAGGAGCUCAUCUCACCUCCUCUCUUCCCCACCUUUGGAUCUGGUCAGUUGAUUAAACUGAGGAUUUUUCCUGUUC
rnacentral:lncRNA from 1 species